GUCUAGCUCAGAACACACACGGACUUGAGGUCAAAUCCCAGCUCUGUGACUUUCUUGCUGUGUGACCUUGGGAAGCGGCUUCGCAGCUCUGAGCUGGUUUCCACUUCUGAAAACCCAUAAUCAUAACUGUACCUCUUGCAGGGAGGAGGCAAUAUGGAACGCAGAGCCCACGUGUGCCCAGCAUUUGGCAAGUACUCGGGGAAGGAAUUAGGAAGGGCAGGAGUUACAUCAUUCACUUCUUUAUACAGCUGAGAAAACAAGCAGAGGAGGUUCAGCGAGAUGAGGAAACUGAGACCCAGGGAGGCUAAGUAACUUGCCCACGGUCGCAGAGCCAGCAAGUGGAGGAGCCCCAGUUGGAAGCCCCAGAAGCUGGCUCCAGCCCCAAUAAUUACCAGUGGUACAAAUAUUAAACGCUUACUGAAUACCAGGAGCUGUGAUCAGCACUUUACAGCAGAUCUGUCCUCAUCUUAAGCCACGCCUCCCUUCUGCAGAGUCAUUUUUGAUUCUGCACCUACUCCCUCCCCCUGGGCUGCCUCACACUCUGCACCCCCCACCCCCAGCUGUAGAUGGAAGGAGGCUGCUGGCCAUUCAUUCCUCAUCCAGGCCAUCGAUGGAAAUGUCAGACCGCUCAAGUCCACGCCUGAACACCCCUCGUGGCCGCCGGGCACUGACGCUGGCAGAUCCAUUGAUGAGCUUGGCGCCUGCCACCUCUGGGUCUGCCUCAGAGCGAUGCGGCCACAGGCCUGGCUCGUGGCUUCUCCGGACUUGACUCCGAAUGCACAGCGUGGGCCUAACAGGGAGCUGGGGGCAAGCGGACACGGCACCCCCUGUCUGCGGACGGCACAGUGCUGUGUACUGUUGAUCUGGCGAUGCUGGGCGUCCACCACGGGCUGGCGCAGGAGGAAAACAGGAUCAGGCAGGUGACAUAAGGCAGAUGGGGAUGCUACAGUAGCCCUAAUGGUGAAGACCAGGGUCACACAGGCCUGUCAUCCCUGACCCCAAAUCCCUGGGCAGAUGGUUCGAGAACUCGGAAUUUUUCCAAUUGUAGAAAGAUAUCUGACACAUGUACCGCCUAUUUCCUAACACCCCCCAAGGAGGUGUGGGGCAACCCGUGCAAUCAAACACAUUAAUAUGUCUGCAGCAGAGCGCACGAACAAAGAUGAUGAUGACUCGCCAAAUCCCAGUUCCUCGACUUGCCACUGGGGCCGUGGUGCCCAGCUCCCGGGGUGGUCCCGAGAAUUUGAUGCCUGCAGUGUCUCAGACACGGGUGCAUGUCCUGCCCCCGCCCUUUGCACGUGCUGCUCCUUUCCGGAAUAUUCCUCUCCAGGAUGGCUUUCUCACUUCCACGCGGGCUCUGCUCAAACGUCACCCACCUCCUCAGCGAGGCUCGCCCUGGCCGUGCCCGCCUCCUCCCGCCCCCUCUCGCUCUCCUUCCUCUUCCUUCUCAAGCACCUACCACCUGACCUUGAACUUAAUCAAUAACUCAUUUAUCCAUUGCCUGCUCCCCCUCGGUGGAGUCUGAGCCCCUCGAGGGCAGGACUCCUUUCUGUCCCUCCAGCACCCAGGACAGUACCCGUGCAGGUGGGCCCUCCCAGUGUUGUUUCGGGAAGAACAGUCUGUUCGAGUGCCCGGCACAUCAUCAGAAAGCCUCAAUAAAGCCAAGCUGGUACCAUCACCAUUACUGACGUUACUGAAGCUGCUGCUGUUUCUGUUUUUAUUAUAUUAUGACGUUCCUGAGCUGAUCCCAGACCUUGGUUCUCCAGCCUGGGAAAUGGGCAUCCUGGGGAACGGGGCACCAGACGCGGGCCGGGUCGCUG